GAUGAACGCUGGCGGCGUGCCUAAUACAUGCAAGUCGAGCGAACGGACGAGAAGCUUGCUUCUCUGAUGUUAGCGGCGGACGGGUGAGUAACACGUGGAUAACCUACCUAUAAGACUGGGAUAACUUCGGGAAACCGGAGCUAAUACCGGAUAAUAUUUUGAACCGCAUGGUUCAAAAGUGAAAGACGGUCUUGCUGUCACUUAUAGAUGGAUCCGCGCUGCAUUAGCUAGUUGGUAAGGUAACGGCUUACCAAGGCAACGAUGCAUAGCCGACCUGAGAGAGUGAUGCGCCACACUCGAACUGGGACACGCUCCCAACUCCUACGCGACGCAGCCGUAGGGCAUCUUCCGCCAUGGGCGAAAGCCUGACGGCGCAACGCAGCGUGAGUGAUGAAGGUCUUCGGAUCGUAAAACUCUGUUAUUAGGGAAGAACAUAUGUGUAAGUAACUGUGCACAUCUUGACGGUACCAAAUCAGAAAGCCACGGCUAUCUACGUG
rnacentral:rRNA from 1 species